rnacentral:rRNA from 1 species
GGAGUCUAGCAUGUGCGCGUUUUCAUUGGGACUUUGCGAAACCUAAAGGCGAAAUGAAAGUGAAGGCGCGCCUAGCGCGCGCCGAGGGAGGAUGGGUCGCGCGCGUCGCGUCCUCGCACUCCCGGGGCGUUUCGUUCUCAUAGCGAGAAGAGGCGCACCCAGAGCGUACACUGCUGGGACCCGAAAGAUGGUGAACUAUGCCUGGUCAGGACGAAGUCAGGGGAAACCCUGAUGGAGGUCCGUAGCGAUUCUGACGUGCAAAUCGAUCGUCGGAACUGGGUAUAGGGGCGAAAGACUAAUCGAACCAUCUAGUAGCUGGUUCCCUCCGAAGUUUCCCUCAGGAUAGCUGGCGCUCGUUGAGCGAGUCUCAUCUGGUAAAGCGAAUGAUUAGAGGCAUUGGGGUCGAAACGGCCUCAACCUAUUCUCAAACUUUAAAUGGGUGAGAACUCCGGCUUGCUUAAACGCUGAAGCCGCGAGU